GAAACCUUCCGGCUUUUCAUUUCUUGGAAUUUCUCAGAGAGGAUUGGUUCCCUUGGGGACUGGAAAACAGGGGGCGCAUGGGGGUUGUCAGCUCUUGUUUUGAGAAGUUGGGUUAAAUCCCCCAACGAGCCCAACCCUUUUCCUUUGUUUCCAGCACGUUAGGGUGGGCACUUUAAGGAGACUGCCGGUGACAAACCGGAGGAAGGUGGGGAUGACGUCAAGUCAUCAUGGCCCUUACGGCCAGGGCUACACACGUGCUACAAUGGUCGGUACAAAGGGUAGCCAAGCCGCGAGGUGGAGCCAAUCCCAAAAACCCGAUCGUAGUCCGGAUUGCAGUCUGCAACUCGAUCCAUGAAGUCGGAAUCGCUAGUAAUCGCGAUCAGCAUGAUGCGCAUGCCAA
rnacentral:rRNA from 1 species